rnacentral:rRNA from 1 species
CCCUUAGAUGUUCCGGGCCGCACGCGCGCUACACUGAUGCAUUCAACGAGUUUCUUCCUGGUCCGAGAGGAAUGGGUAACCUUUUGAAAGUGCAUCGUGAUAGGGAUAGACUAUUGCAAUUAUUGGUCUUCAACGAGGAAUUCCUAGUAGACGUAGUUCAUCAGACUGCAUCGAUUACGUCCCUGCCCUUUGUACACACCGCCCGUCGCUCCUACCGAUUGAAUGCUCAGGUGAGCCAUUCGGACCUUCAUCAUGCCGGUUUCCGGUUUUGAUAAGGGAAAGUCUUGCGAACCUUAUCAUUUAGAGGAAGGAGAAGUCGUAACA